CCUACGGGGGGCAGCAGUGGGGAAUUUUGCACAAUGGGGGAAACCCUGAUGCAGCGACGCCGCGUGAUUUAGAAGGCCUUCGGGUUGUAAAAAUCUUUUGUAUAGGAAGAAAAUGACAGUACUAUACGAAUAAGGUCCGGCUAAUUACGUGCCAGCAGCCGCGGUAAUACGUAAGGACCGAGCGUUGUCCGGAAUCAUUGGGCGUAAAGGGUACGUAGGCGGGUCACUAAGUUAGAAGUCAAAGGCUAUAGCUCAACUAUAGUAAGCUUCUAAAACUAGAGACCUUGAGUAAUGGAAGGGAAAGUGGAAUUCCUAGUGUAGCGGUGGAAUGCGCAGAUAUUAGGAGGAAUACCGGUGGCGAAGGCGACUUUCUGGCCAUUAACUGACGCUGAGGUACGAAAGCGUGGGUAGCAAACAGGAUUAGAUACCCCUGUAGUC
rnacentral:rRNA from 1 species